AAGAACUAAUAAUCUGAGCAAUCGAAUGAUAGAGUAACGUCUUGAAAGGUUGUCCAUAAUACUCCGAAUGGCAAGAAAAUGGUAAAAUUUAUCUUGUCAUAAGCUCGGUGAAGUCGGCUGAGAGCAUAUCCAAGUAUUAGUAUUAACUAAUAACGGAAAAGUGAACCAGAGGUGGUCAAGUAUGUGAUAGGUCGGUGGUCUAAAAU
rfam:Epulopiscium sp. SCG-B10WGA-EpuloB SCGB10WGA_B_76, whole genome shotgun sequence.